UGCCAGACUCCUACGGGAGGCAGCAGUAGGGAAUCUUUCACAAUGGGCGAAAGCCUGAUGGAGCAACGCCGCGUGCAGGAUGAAGGCCUUCGGGUUGUAAACUGCUUUUAUAAGCGAGAAAUAUGAUGGUAACUUAUGAAUAAGGAUCGGCUAACUACGUGCCAGCAGCCGCGGUAAUACGUAGGGGGCAAGCGUUAUCCGGAUUUACUGGGUGUAAAGGGAGCGUAGACGGUGAUGCAAGUCAGAAGUGAAAGCCCGGGGCUCAACUCCGGGACUGCUUUUGAAACUGUGUAACUGGAGUGCAGGAGAGGUAAGCGGAAUUCCUGGUGUAGCGGUGAAAUGCGUAGAUAUCAGGAGGAACACCAGUGGCGAAGGCGGCUUACUGGACUGUAACUGACGUUGAGGCUCGAAAGCGUGGGGAGCAAACAGGAUUAGAUACCCCCGUA
rnacentral:rRNA from 1 species